rnacentral:rRNA from 1 species
UAAUACGGAGGGUGCAAACGUUGUUCGGAAUCACUGGGCGUAAAGGGCGCGCAGGCGGUUUGAUUAGUCAGAUGUGAAAGCCCACGGCUUAACCGUGGAAGUGCAUUUGAAACUGUCAGACUUGAGUACCAGAGGGGGUAGUGGAAUUCCCGGUGUAGAGGUGAAAUUCGUAGAUAUCGGGAGGAAUACCGGUGGCGAAGGCGACUACCUGGCUGGAUACUGACGCUGAGGCGCGAAAGCGUGGGGAGCAAACAGGAUUAGAUACCCUGGUAGUCCACGCCGUAAACGAUGUCAACUAGGUGUAGGGGGUAUUGACCCCCCCUGUGCCGUAGCUAACGCAUUAAGUUCUCCGCCUGGGGAGUACGGUCGCAAGAUUA